rnacentral:rRNA from 1 species
AUGGACCGGGGUCAGUUCUUUGUCAGCAUGGAGAUUUUUGAACGCUCCCUUAACUUCAAGUGGGAGGUCAUUAUUGUCUACGGCCCCGCUGACCACACCCGAUCCGCCUCCUUCCUCGAGGAGCUCCACCGGAAGGUGUCGGCUGCGUCACUGCCGGUUGUUGUGGGGGGUGACUUUAAUCUCCUUAUGUUCGCGGAGGACAAGAGCAAUGCCAACGUCAACUUUGCUCUUAUGCAAAUGUUCAACGAUUGCAUUGCUGAUCUUGGCCUCCGUGAGAUUGACCGGGUUGGUGCCAGGUUCACCUGGACCAACCGUCAGGCUGCCCCGACCCAGUCCGUCCUGGACCGGGUCCUAGUUUCUCCGGAAUGGGACCUCCAUUGCUCCCUUGCCUCCCUUCGGGCCAUCACUCGGAUUGGCUCCGACCACGUCCCCCUCCUUCUGUCUUCCGCUGAUGAACGCCCCCCGCUUCCCCCCCGAUUCCGGUUUGAGACAUUUUGGUUGUCCCAAGCUGGCUUCGCCGACGCGGUCGGUGCCCGUUGGUUGGAGACUCGCGCCCUCUCGCAGUCUCUUUCUCACCCUUCCUCCACUGUUGACUCUUGGCACGUCUGCGCCAAGCGAGGCCGACAGUUCAUGAAGGGAUGGGGCGCCAACCUGGGGCGUGACCUCUGCGAGCGUAAGAAGGCUCUGCUGUCUGCGAUCCAAGCCCCGGACCUGCGCGCCGAUGCUACCGGCCUCUCUCCCGAGGAGUGGCUCUCCCGCUACGACUUGGAAGAUCAGCUCUCUAUCAUCUACACUGAUGAAGAGGCCUACUGGCGUUUGCGUGGUGCUCAGAAAUGGGUCUUGAAGGGCGACGCGAAUACGGCAUAUUUCCAAGCCAUUGCUAAUGGCCGACGUAGGCGCAACACCAUUCCUCUCCUUUGGGAUGGCUCGACCCUCCUGCAGUCCCCGCGGGACAUUAGGUCCCACGUCGACGGCUUGUAUAGGGCCCUGUUCACAGCCGCUCCUCGGAGCGGCUUAUCUUUGGCCCCUGACUGCUGGUCCGGUCGCCAGCUUGUUUCCGAGCCUGAGAACGCGGCUCUUAUGGCCCCCUUCUCAGAGGGCGAGGUCUGGGCCGCCAUCAAGGGCAUGAACCCUGCCUCGGCCCCUGGCCCGGAUGGCCUUCCAGUCUAG